UGGAACAUAGCUCAGUGGCAGAGCACUUGACUAGCAAGUAAAAAGUCCCAGGUUCGAUCCCUAGCACUUCAA
rnacentral:tRNA from 1 species